GCCUGUCUUACUAAACUCCUUCUCAUUUCCAUGAAAAUAUGAUGGAGGACAAGAUGCUGAGUGGUUUUGAUCUGGAACAAUGAAUAUCCUUUAUUCUAACCUGGGAAUUUAGCUCAGGAACAGGAACUUUAGGGCUGCAAUCAGGAUUCCAAAGGCAUUCAAGUGCACAGUUAGUUUCUGUUACUCAACACUGUUCCAUAUCAGUGUUUUAUUUUCUUUAUUUCAUCUUGGCUUUGUUUUGGUUUAUCCGAUUUAAUUUCUCCAAAAGAAAAUAAGCCCCAAACCUCCCAGUUAAUGCAUUGAGUUGACAUUAUCUUAUUGGAAAUGACAGUCUGACCACUCAAUAGCCCCAAGCCCUGGCAGAACCCUCAAAUCCUGGACAUCUCAGUGGGAGCAGGAAAAAGAACAUUUAAAAAAUAACUUCAUUUAAGAAAUGAAAUGAAGAAUUCUUUAAGAAGAGGUGAUCCCUUAAAAGGUUGGAAAAAGGCAACAAAACCUCCGAGGUGGGCCAGGAACAGCACAGCCCUGACCUGCAGUGGAGAGGAGCUCUCUUGUUUUAGUCCAACCAUCAGAAGAAAAGGGAUUAAAGCCACCACACAGCAUCAGAUCUGUCUCUGA
rnacentral:lncRNA from 1 species